rnacentral:misc_RNA from 1 species
UAGCAGAGGCCCCGGUAACCCAA